rnacentral:rRNA from 1 species
UGAUUGCAUGGUGUUCUGGGAAAGCCUUUGCGGCAUGGGAUGGGGUCGCGUCCUAUCAGCUUGAUGGCGGGGUAACGGCCCACCAUGGCUUCGACGGGUAGCCGGCCUGAGAGGGCGACCGGCCACAUUGGGACUGAGAUACGGCCCAGACUCCUACGGGAGGCAGCAGUGGGGAAUAUUGCACAAUGGGCGCAAGCCUGAUGCAGCGACGCCGCGUGAGGGAUGGAGGCCUUCGGGUUGUAAACCUCUUUUGUUAGGGAGCAAGGCACUUUGUGUUGAGUGUACCUUUCGAAUAAGCACCGGCUAACUACGUGCCAGCAGCCGCGGUAAUACGUAGGGUGCAAGCGUUAUCCGGAAUUAUUGGGCGUAAAGGGCUCGUAGGCGGUUCGUCGCGUCCGGUGUGAAAGUCCAUCGCUUAACGGUGGAUCCGCGCCGGGUACGGGCGGGCUUGAGUGCGGUAGGGGAGACUGGAAUUCCCGGUGUAACGGUGGAAUGUGUAGAUAUCGGGAAAGAACACCA